rnacentral:rRNA from 1 species
UGCAAGCCGAGCGGUAGAGAUUCUUCGGGAUCUUGAGAGCGGCGUACGGGUGCGGAACACGUGUGCAACCUACCUUUAUCAGGGGGAUAGCCUUUCGAAAGGAAGAUUAAUACCCCAUAAUAUAUUGAAUGGCAUCAUUUAAUAUUGAAAACUCCGGUGGAUAGAGAUGGGCACGCGCAAGAUUAGAUAGUUGGUAGGGUAACGGCCUACCAAGUCAGUGAUCUUUAGGGGGCCUGAGAGGGUGAUCCCCCACACUGGUACUGAGACACGGACCAGACUCCUACGGGAGGCAGCAGUGAGGAAUAUUGGACAAUGGGUGAGAGCCUGAUCCAGCCAUCCCGCGUGAAGGACGACGGCCCUAUGGGUUGUAAACUUCUUUUGUAUAGGGAUAAACCUACUCUCGUGAGAGUAGCUGAAGGUACUAUACGAAUAAGCACCGGCUAACUCCGUGCCAGCAGCCGCGGUAAUACGGAGGGUGCAAGCGUUAUCCGGAUUUAUUGGGUUUAAAGGGUCCGUAGGCGGAUCUGUAAGUCAGUGGUGAAAUCUCAUAGCUUAACUAUGAAACUGCCAUUGAUACUGCAGGUCUUGAGUAAAGUAGAAGUGGCUGGAAUAAGUAGUGUAGCGGUGAAAUGCAUAGAUAUUACUUAGAACACCAAUUGCGAAGGCAGGUCACUAUGUUUUAACUGACGCUGAUGGACGAAAGCGUGGGGAGCGAACAGGAUUAGAUACCCUGGUAGUCCACGCCGUAAACGAUGCUAACUCGUUUUUGGGUCUUCGGAUUCAGAGACUAAGCGAAAGUGAUAAGUUAGCCACCUGGGGAGUACGUUCGCAAGAAUGAAACUCAAAGGAAUUGACGGGGGCCCGCACAAGCGGUGGAUUAUGUGGUUUAAUUCGAUGAUACGCGAGGAACCUUACCAAGGCUUAAAUGGGAAUUGACAGGUUUAGAAAUAGACUUUUCUUCGGACAAUUUUCAAGGUGCUGCAUGGUUGUCGUCAGCUCGUGCCGUGAGGUGUUAGGUUAAGUCCUGCAACGAGCGCAACCCCUGUCACUAGUUGCCAUCAUUCAGUUGGGGACUCUAGUGAGACUGCCUACGCAAGUAGAGAGGAAGGUGGGGAUGACGUCAAAUCAUCACGGCCCUUACGCCUUGGGCCACACACGUAAUACAAUGGCCAGUACAGAGGGCAGCUACCAGGCGACUGGAUGCGAAUCUCGAAAGCUGGUCUCAGUUCGGAUUGGAGUCUGCAACUCGACUCUAUGAAGCUGGAAUCGCUAGUAAUCGCAUAUCAGCC